CUAAUCUUUCUAAGGCUUCUCUGCGACAACGUCGAGGAUGUUUCUCCAACAAAUGGCUUCCACAUGUCUGUACCUGAAACUGAAUUAUCUUUACUCUUAAAUUGGAGGGCCUCCUCUGAUUCCAUCUCAUGAUCCAUUUUCUCUACUUCGCUGGUACAGAAGCUCAUGAUGGAUUUUCCCUUGUUCUUAGCUGUAGCCAUAUUUAGAUAUAGAAGAAUGUAUGAGAAGAUGAUCCACUGGAGAAUAAAAAAAAGACAAGAGGAUGGCUUCCUCUUUGUUUUAUGGAAACAGAGGAAUAGCGGGAGGAGAUGUGUUGUGUGGUUAUGAAAUCGCUUUCCUCUUUAUAUAUCAGAUCCCGAGUGGGUGGGACUUGUUAACUGAGAGAUGUUGACAUAUACCACUAAACAAAAUAUCCACCCUUCUCAGGUCCGUGCCAUGCACUCCUCUGCUUUUUUUCUUCUUCUUUUGGACGGUGUGAUUUUUACGUUCUUUCCUUUUUUUUUUUCUUGCUAAUUAUUGUAAACGUUGAUGACAGUAUGGUCGGCUAAUCGCGGCUACGGAUACAUGAGACUGAAACAAUUGAUUACGACGUCACCUGUAUUUAGCUUUGACUUUUUUUUUUUUCUUAAUUCAUAAACCCCACCUACAAAAGACAAUCCUAACGUAUCAAGAAUGGAACAAACAAAUUAAAAAUCAACAUCAUUUUUGUUUCACGAAACACAUGUUUCGUAGGGUUGGACAAAACAUCCGCAUCCUAAUAUCAAUCUGAAACUGACCCAAAAUUGAAGAUAUUGAACCGAACCCAAGAUAAAUAUUUGAGCAUGUCCUAAAUUACUAUAUCCGAAGAACAAGUAUCGAAACCGAUCCAAAUCGAAAACCAAAUAACUAUCCAAAAAUUUCUGAAAAUAUGUAUCUCAAAAUAUUAGUUAUAAUCAUAUUUAUAAUAAUUCAAUGCCUAAAAUAUCAUAAAUAAAAAAUAUUUACUUUUAUUUAAAUUAAAUGGGCUAAUUUGGAUAAAAAUAUUCAAACCAAAUUGUAUCCACGAUUACUCUUCAGAUCAAACAAUUGAUUUGAACCGUAUUAGAUGAGUAUUUUUGGUUUUUUUUUUUGUUUUUUUUGAAUAAGAUAAUUUGAAUUUAAGAUGAAACUAGCUUCUGACCCGCGCGCCCGCGCGGGUGUUUAUUUUCCGAUAAUUACAUUAACAUUUCAAAACACAACAAUUUAAUGGUUUCAUUGGUUUGGAUCGGUUCAGAUAAUAUCGGGUUUGGAUCAGUUUUAUAUUAUUAUAAAACCCGAAUU